AUUGAACGCUGGCGGCAGGCCUAACACAUGCAAGUCGAACGGUAACAGGAAGCAGCCUGCUGCUUUGCUGACGAGUGGCGGACGGGUGAGUAAUGUCUGGGAAACUGCCUGAUGGAGGGGGAUAACUACUGGAAACGGUAGCUAAUACCGCAUAACGUCGCAAGACCAAAGAGGGGGACCUUAGGGCCUCUUGCCAUCGGAUGUGCCCAGAUGGGAUUAGCUAGUAGGUGGGGUAACGGCUCACCUAGGCGACGAUCCCUAGCUGGUCUGAGAGGAUGACCAGCCACACUGGAACUGAGACACGGUCCAGACUCCUACGGGAGGCAGCAGUGGGGAAUAUUGCACAAUGGGCGCAAGCCUGAUGCAGCCAUGCCGCGUGUAUGAAGAAGGCCUUCGGGUUGUAAAGUACUUUCAGCGGGGAGGAAGGGAGUAAAGUUAAUACCUUUGCUCAUUGACGUUACCCGCAGAAGAAGCACCGGCUAACUCCGUG
rnacentral:rRNA from 1 species